CAGAGCGAGGGUGGCGCAAGACCGGGCUAGAGCAACGGCUAGAGGAGGAGAAGCGCGCUAAACUAGCGCAUCCCUCUCCCGGCUUGCGCGCGUUUUAUCACGUGACCUCCUAUAGAUACUUGGGGCGCCCAUCGAGCCCGGCUCAGCCUCAAACACUUCCUUUAACGCGCACAGCCAACGGCGCGGGAUAGGAUCUUAUCGCACUUGACUUUAUACGAAAGCUCACGGUAACACCGACAGAUAUAUUUCGACGGUUGUGUCCAUAUAAUUGCUAUCGCAAAAUUCGCAAUAAAUAGAAAUUUUCACUAAGGACCAACCACGCUGCUUCUCCAUGUCGUGAGAGAGCGGUGAACGAUAGUUCUAGAAAAUGUGUUGCUAAAUCUCCGCCAAAUGACUACGCUCGCAUUUGGUGACAACGGCACACAGUCGCAAGAACUUGUGGAGGAAAUACCGGAGUUCUGGCAGCUUCAGGUGCACUAGAUCAUUCAGUAACAUGGGCGGCUUUGUAGUUCUACCUCACAUCAGAGCAAACUGCACUCGACAGAAAUAAAGGGCAGCCGCACCGUUAUAGCUAAGCAAAUUAAGGACAAUUACGCCGCGUCUUCACACUUCGAGCAUGCUCCGACAGCCCCCCGAUAGAUAUUUCAAACGUAACCACGCUCGGACGGGCAAAUUUUGCUUCUGCCAAGUGAACGUAGCGGGCAUUUCAACACGCGUGUUAAAUUCAUGGCUGUUUCAUUCGUGAACAUUACUUAAGUGACGUAAAAUUAUCAGUGAGCAAAACAGUUUUUAUUUCAACGCGAGGAAACAAAACCGAAACUAGCGCAACUGUUUUGCUCAGUUGUGCAGAUACAAAAUGAUCCAAAGCCGAAGCCGUCAAUAGCAUGACGCCAUUUUAAAGUUGCGCUGUAUCACGCGCGAGUGCGUUGUCGUUGAGUGGUUCUGAAAUCGCUGCGUUAGGGGCGACUGCAACCAAGCGUUGCGGCAAGUUACGGUGGGAGCUUCUGUCCGUGCUGUGUGAUUGCGACGAGGGGACCGCCGCCAGCAGCAGCGUAUCGCCGAUUUCGUCUUUCGGUUUGCACUGCAUCUUUCAUUGUGAUAUGGGAGAUCGCAACGGACAGAGACGACCAGAUGCAUACGAACCACUACCAGCGGGGACCUGUGACCUGUGCCAUAUUUCUCUUAACGUCUCAGGUAUUCAAGAAAUGCCAACAUCCAGAAGAUGCCAUCUUAUCCAGCACGUUAUGGGUACACUCUGGUGGCUCCCGCCCCUGCAUCCUACCACCACUGUGUCCUGACUACGUCCACUAGAGAGUUCGAAGCCUUUGGCGGCUCCUGCCACUGCGUCCUGCCACCACCGUGUCCUGACUACGUCCACUAGGGAGUUGGCAGCCCUCGUGAUGAUGCCAAGCAGGCUGGAAGCCGACAGAAAGAUUAAGAUUGCCUCGAAAUUUUACCAAAGCCGUACCACACACUCGGGCAAGGCCUUUUUGCAAACGGCGUAUAACCAGGCUCAACGCAUGAGUGUCCAGUGAGUCUGGAGAUCAAGGCAACCUGCUGUGCAACCAGCAUGCAACCUUUGGUGGCCCCUCUACAUUUUCCACCUAUUUCACAACUGCACCUCAGCCGCAACUUAUCCAAACAGCAUCACCAACUGUGGUCACUCAUCGAACCAUGGAUGAAUGUUGGGGUGGAGUGAUUUGAAGAGACAUUCUAUUUGUCUCUUCAAAUUCUUAGCAAAUACUUGUGUUAUUAUAAUUAAUAUGUGUCUUUAGU